rnacentral:antisense_RNA from 1 species
ACACACGCACGCGCGCUUCUUAAAGGAGACGGCUUAUAAAGGAUUCCCCACUACGCCAGCAGAGGGGAAGAGGAGCCCACGGGAAAGAAAAGCAGGCGAGGAUAAGAAUAAAGAGUGUUCCAGGUAUGACAGCUACCUCGGUGAGGUGGAAGAGAGAAUUGACAAGGCAAAUUUCAUGGGUGAGUUGGAAAGGCAAGAAGCAGGACUACAAGAGGUCCUAUGUGGUAAGCAGAUGGAAAAUUCUGAGAAUGGUUUGCCAAAAAUUGUAUUAGACUGCAAUAACUUUAAUCCAAUAAAAGAAAAAAAAGGCUGAGGAAUGGGACUUUGCAGCUGUUGCUGUAAAAAUGUAAGAAAUGCCCACCCAACUUGACCCAAGACCCAAGAAGGUCUCAGGGAGACCUUCCUGACAGUCUGCCUUGUGCCCAGCAUGUGCUGCCCACAAAAUAAUUUUGAAGAUGUAAUAAAAAGCAAUGUCUUAUAUUGUAUAGUAUAUUAGAAUAUUCAGAAUGUUUCCAGACAUAGUAUCUCAUUUAAUUCUCACACCAUCUCUGAGGAUUUUGUUUUUAUUUUACAGAUGAAGUAAAUGAUAGCAAUA